rnacentral:rRNA from 1 species
GAGUGAACGCUGGCGGUAGGCCUAACACAUGCAAGUCGAACGGCAGCACAGUAAGGGCUUGCUCUUACGGGUGGCGAGUGGCGGACGGGUGAGGAAUACAUCGGAAUCUACUUUUUCGUGGGGGAUAACGUAGGGAAACUUACGCUAAUACCGCAUACGACCUACGGGUGAAAGCAGGGGAUCUUCGGACCUUGCGCGAUUGAAUGAGCCGAUGUCGGAUUAGCUAGUUGGCGGGGUAAAGGCCCACCAAGGCGACGAUCCGUAGCUGGUCUGAGAGGAUGAUCAGCCACACUGGAACUGAGACACGGUCCAGACUCCUACGGGAGGCAGCAGUGGGGAAUAUUGGACAAUGGGCGCAAGCCUGAUCCAGCCAUACCGCGUGGGUGAAGAAGGCCUUCGGGUUGUAAAGCCCUUUUGUUGGGAAAGAAAAGCAGCAGGUUAAUACCCCGCUGUUCUGACGGUACCCAAAGAAUAAGCACCGGCUAACUUCGUG